CUGCCAUCAGCUCCCUCUGCCCACUCUGACUAAAGGACAGAUUCAGUGAGCAGAAUGGAUCUUCUUCGACCUGGAUCUGAUGCUGUGGCUGCAUGGGAAGACCCUGGGAGGUGAGCAAAGUUCCAUCAUGCAAAGGUACUGCAUUUUCUCUCUCCUUCCAUCUGCUACUGGACCUCUGGGCACGCUCCACAGCUCAGCUAUUACAAACAGUGCAGCAGCAAAUAUGGAAGACCGUCACCAGCUGCCUUUGGGUGACAUCACGACUCCAUGUGACAAAUCAAGGAGGGAGUUUCAGCAGCAGAACCCUGGGCAUUGAUGGCCUGAGAUAUGAGUAACACCUGUGUAGUACUGGACUCGGAAGACAGGGGACGUAACCUUCACUGAGGCGGUCCGUGGGGACCUGGACAGCUGGUGUAGUGGAAGAACGCUGGCUGACCACAGGGGAUUAGGGCCAAACGCAACCCAUCUCACACUGAA